rnacentral:rRNA from 1 species
GAUGAACGCUGACAGAAUGCUUAACACAUGCAAGUCAACUUGAAUUUGGGUUUUUAACUUAGAUUUGGGUGGCGGACGGGUGAGCAACGCGUAAAGAACUUGCCUCACAGCUAGGGACAACAUUUAGAAAUGAAUGCUAAUACCUGAUAUUAUGAUUUUAAGGCAUCUUAGAAUUAUGAAAGCUAUAAGCACUGUGAGAGAGCUUUGCGUCCCAUUAGCUAGUUGGAGAGGUAACAGCUCACCAAGGCAAUGAUGGGUAGCCGGCCUGAGAGGGUGAACGGCCACAAGGGGACUGAGACACGGCCCUUACUCCUACGGGAGGCAGCAGUGGGGAAUAUUGGGCAAUGGGGGGAACCCUGACGCAGCCAUGCCGCGUGAAUGAAGAAGGCCUUCGGGUUGUAAAGUUCUUUCGGUAUUGAGGAAGGGAUGUGUGCUAAUAGUAGACAUCAUUGACGUUAAAUACAGAAGAAGCACCGGCUAACUCCGUGCCAGCAGCCGCGGUAAUACGGAGGGUGCGAGCGUUAAUCGGAAUAACUGGGCGUAAAGGGCACGCAGGCGGUUAUUUAAGUGAGGUGUGAAAGCCCCGGGCUUAACCUGGGAAUUGCAUUUCAGACUGGGUAACUAGAGUACUUUAGGGAGGGGUAGAAUUCCACGUGUAGCGGUGAAAUGCGUAGAGAUGUGGAGGAAUACCCGAAGGCCAAGGCAGCCCCUUGUGAAUGUUCUGACGCUCAUGUGCGAAAACGCGGGGGAGCAACAGGAUAAAUAACAUUUAUUUCUAAGGGGGCAGUCCCAUUGGAUAUUAGCCUGCUGAGAACCCGCCACCCCGCGGGGGG